AGGCAGGACGGCAAUUGGUCAAAGCAAGUGAUGGGGUCUAGAGCAAGAGGACAGUAAACCUGGGAUGGCUGAGCUUCCCUAGAGAAUCCAUGGCUAAUCGGAGCUUGGCAAACCAACACAGCAUUUCCUGAAAAUGAACGUCCACAAGGAAAUGCUGUGUGAGUGUUUUCCACGGAGAGAGGGUGGCAUCUGCCUCGCUGGAGGGCUGGCAGCACACAGAAUCUGCCUGCAGUGGAUUCUUAAACAUGCAAUCAUGGCUAAUGGGGUGUAAGACAGGAUAAGACUGAGAGCUGCUUGCGGUGAUGGAGAGGCAAGGAGCAGAGGAGGCCAAAGAAGAAGGAGAAGACGCCAUGGGGGAUAAAAUUAUAGGGAGCAUCAAACGCUCAUGAGAGAAGCAACCCAAAUGUCCAACGAUGGGAGAAUGGAUGAACAAGAUGUGGUAUAUACUUGCAAUGGAAUGCUACCCAGCAUUAAAAAGGAAUGGAAUUCGGAUGCCCGCUAUAACAUGGAUGAACCUCGGAAAAUUUUACGCAAAGUGAAAUAAAACAGACACCAAAGGACAAACACGGAAAGAAGCUGAGGGUAGACGCCUUGAAGGAGCCCUGCUCCUGCCUUUUGACCCCUCACUUCUGGGUGUGUGAUGCACACUGCGGUCUCAGGACAGAGGGCACUCCCCCCUGCACCCUCUUCACAUCAGUCAGCAUCUCCAUGGGA